rnacentral:rRNA from 1 species
UGGGGAAUAUUGGACAAUGGGGGGAACCCUGAUCCAGCCAUGCCGCGUGUGUGAAGAAGGCCUUAUGGUUGUAAAGCACUUUAAGCGAGGAGGAGGGUACUGGUAUUAAUACUACCAGCUACUGGACGUUACUCGCAGAAUAAGCACCGGCUAACUCUGUGCCAGCAGCCGCGGUAAUACAGAGGGUGCGAGCGUUAAUCGGAUUUACUGGGCGUAAAGCGUGCGUAGGCGGCUAAUUGAGUCGGAUGUGAAAUCCCCGAGCUUAACUUGGGAAUUGCAUUCGAUACUGGUUAGCUAGAGUGUGGGAGAGGAUGGUAGAAUUCCAGGUGUAGCGGUGAAAUGCGUAGAGAUCUGGAGGAAUACCGAUGGCGAAGGCAGCCAUCUGGCCUAACACUGACGCUGAGGUACGAAAGCAGGAGGAGCAAACAGG